rnacentral:rRNA from 1 species
UACGUAGGUGGCAAGCGUUGUCCGGAAUUAUUGGGCGUAAAGCGCGCGCAGGCGGUCCUUUAAGUCUGAUGUGAAAGCCCACGGCUCAACCGUGGAGGGUCAUUGGAAACUGGGGGACUUGAGUGCAGAAGAGGAAAGCGGAAUUCCACGUGUAGCGGUGAAAUGCGUAGAGAUGUGGAGGAACACCAGUGGCGAAGGCGGCUUCUGGUCUGUAACUGACGCUGAGGCGCGAAAGCGUGGGGAGCAAACAGG